rnacentral:rRNA from 1 species
UACAGAGGGUGCAAGCGUUAAUCGGAAUUACUGGGCGUAAAGCGCGCGUAGGUGGUUCGUUAAGUUGGAUGUGAAAUCCCCGGGCUCAACCUGGGAACUGCAUUCAAAACUGACGAGCUAGAGUAUGGUAGAGGGUGGUGGAAUUUCCUGUGUAGCGGUGAAAUGCGUAGAUAUAGGAAGGAACACCAGUGGCGAAGGCGACCACCUGGACUGAUACUGACACUGAGGUGCGAAAGCGUGGGGAGCGAACAGG